rnacentral:rRNA from 1 species
UACGUAGGGGGCAAGCGUUGUCCGGAAUCAUUGGGCGUAAAGGGCGCGUAGGCGGCGUGUUAAGUCAGCUGUGAAAUCUCCAAGCUUAACUUGGAACGGUCAGCUGAUACUGAUGUGCUAGAGUGCAGAAGGGGCAAUCGGAAUUCUUGGUGUAGCGGUGAAAUGCGUAGAUAUCAAGAGGAACACCUGAGGUGAAGACGGGUUGCUGGGCUGACACUGACGCUGAGGCGCGAAAGCUAGGGUAGCAAACGGG